UAAUGUGUAAGGUUUCCAGUCAACCAGAACACAGAUGUCACAUCCUCUGCCAUGCACACCUUGAAAUUCAUAGAAAUAAAAAGUGAUUUAAUUGCUGGAUAUAAAUAUAGCUCUUCUUCAGAUAUCUUGCUUCCUUGAAGUUCUUACGGUCAAAUACUUCUUCUGAUUGCUGCCAUAUUAAGCACAACACUUGAAUUACUGAAACAUCUCUAUAAAUUCUAGGAUGAAGAUUUAAGGAUUUAAAGACCUUAAGCUGUACUUGUGUUAGCUGCAGCAUCUGUUUUGUGAGAGACUUUCCAAACAAGUGAAUUCAAGCCUGGUAUAAACAUGCAGAAUUCUACCCGAUGCAGUUUGCUUAGAGGUAGGUCCAGAUCAGUUUUUUCCUAUGAUAAUUUUCUCCUUUUAUGAUGUACAGAAAUAUUUGCUGUGGUGUCACACAAAAUGGUGAUAAAAAGCACUAUAAGAGGAUAAAAAACACACCUUGGCUGAAGAGCGCCUGUGUUCAAAGGACGUGUACAGCUUUCUGGUGAAAGAGCCUUAAACUACCUUUCUCCUAUGGUUAAAAACUGCCCUCACAAACCCAGGAAGGAGAGACAAAAUAAGUUCCAAUGUGAAACACCUGAGCACAUUCCUUCCAAGGUGAAUAUUCUUACUGAAUUCUGUGGGCCACUGAUGUGUUUAAAUUUAUACUCCAAUAUUUUGAUAAAUUGAAGUAUGGGUCAUUUAAAGUUAAAUGAAUAGUUUCUAUUUCAGUAAACCCCAUGUGGUUGAAAAAAGAAAAUUAAAAAACAUGCAGCAAACAUUUUAAAUAAAUGCAUUUAAAGCUUAUGAAACACAACUUUUAACAGUAACAAUUUCUGUGAUUACAGCAAUUAUUUUCCAGGGGAUAUAGCUUUAAUUUUGCCUGCUAUUCAGAAUGGGACUGGGAGGACAAUGGGCAAUUUAAAAAAAAAUUACUUCAGUUGCAUGAGUGGGGCCCUUCUGAAAUUUCUCAAGUGACAUUAAGGUCCCAGUCCUUGUGUAAUUUGGAAC